rnacentral:rRNA from 1 species
CUCUAGAGCUAAUACAUGCAACUAUGCCCUGACCCGCAAGGGGAUGGGUGCACUUAUUAGAUCAGAAGCCAACCGGGCAUCAGUCGCAAGGCUGGUGUCUGUUGUUUUUCUGGUGACUCUGGAUAAUUGUUACAGAUCGCAGUCGGCCAUGAGUCGGC